AUUGAACGCUGGCGGCAGGCCUAACACAUGCAAGUCGAGCGAGCGGCGGACGGGUGAGUAAUGUCUGGGACUCUGCCCGAUGGAGGGGGAUAACUACUGGAAACAGUCGCUAAUACCGCAUACCAUCGGAUGUGCCCAUAUGGGAUUAGCUAGUAGGUGGGGUAACGGCUCACCUAGGCGACGAUCCCUAGCUGGUCUGAGAGGAUGAGCAGCCACACUGGAACUGAGACACGGUCCAGACGCCUACGGUAGGCAGCAGGGGGGAAUAUUGCACAAUGGGCGCAAGCCUGAUGCAGCCAUGCCGCGGGUAUGAAGAAGGCCUUAGGGUUGUAAAGUACUUUCAGCGAGGAGGCGUUACUCGCAGAAGAAGCACCGGCUAACUCCGUGCCAGCAGCCGCGGUAAUUC
rnacentral:rRNA from 1 species